AUGUUCCUGUCAUCCUGCAGUCCCCCAUCCUGCAGUUCCACUCUGGCUACCAGGCCUCAGAGGUGGCACCGGUCGUACGAAAACUACAUUUGAUGCUCCAAGCUCCGGCGGACGAUAAACUCCGAGCUGUCAGGAACAAAUACAGCCACAAGGUGUUUUUUGAAGUUGCGACCGUGCCACUGGUGGACAUCAGCGUUUUGGACAAGGCCUUAUCCUCCUAACAAAAUGCUAUAAAAAUAUUUAACACUCCCUUCACAAAAAAACAAUGUACAUAGUUUUUAAUGUCCUUGAUAUUUAUAAGUAGUCAAGUUUCUUCCAUUUUUGUAAAAUAGCUUUCAUUAAAAUGGGCAUUUAUCAUUAAGAAAUUGUUUUUUUUUUUAUGUUUGGCUUUUUUAAUAGUUUUAUAAGCAUGUUCUAAAAAGAUAUACUUCAAUUCUUUAUUCUUUCCUAAUAAAUGUUGUGCCGGCCCGUGUUUUUAUGUUUUAACAUGAUCUUAGAGUUUGUAGCGUUGCGUGUUUCAGACGUUGUACAGUUUAUCAUGUUUAUUUGUGUAAAAGACAAAUUGAUGCUUUGCUACUUUUUUUUUAAAGGGUAUCACACAUAAAAUAAAGAAAUAAAUCUUUUA